rnacentral:tRNA from 1 species
UCCUACGUGGUCUAGUGGCUAGGAUACCUGGCUUUCACCCAGGAGGCCCGGGUUCGAUUCCCGGCGUGGGAA